rnacentral:rRNA from 1 species
UACGUAGGGUGCGAGCGUUAAUCGGAAUUACUGGGCGUAAAGCGUGCGCAGGCGGCGCGUUAAGACAGGUGUGAAAGCCCCGAGCUUAACUUGGGAAUUGCGCUUGUGACUGGCGUGCUGGAGUGUGGCAGAGGGGAGGUGGAAUUCCACGUGUAGCAGUGAAAUGCGUAGAGAUGUGGAGGAACACCGAUGGCGAAGGCAGCCUCCUGGGCCAGCACUGACGCUCAUGCACGAAAGCGUGGGGAGCAAACAGG